rnacentral:rRNA from 1 species
UUGAACGCUGGCGGCAUGCUUUACACAUGCAAGUCGAACGGCAGCGGGGGCUUCGGCCUGCCGGCGAGUGGCGAACGGGUGAGUAAUGCAUCGGAACGUACCCAGUCGUGGGGGAUAACUACGCGAAAGCGUAGCUAAUACCGCAUACGCCCUGAGGGGGAAAGCGGGGGACCUUCGGGCCUCGCGCGAUUGGAGCGGCUGAUGUCGGAUUAGCUAGUUGGUGGGGUAAAGGCCUACCAAGGCGACGAUCCGUAGCUGGUCUGAGAGGAUGAUCAGCCACACUGGGACUGAGACACGGCCCAGACUCCUACGGGAGGCAGCAGUGGGGAAUUUUGGACAAUGGGCGCAAGCCUGAUCCAGCCAUGCCGCGUGUGUGAAGAAGGCCUUCGGGUUGUAAAGCACUUUCGGCCGGAACGAAAUCGCCUUUGUUAAUAGCGAAGGUGGAUGACGGUACCGGAAGAAGAAGCACCGGCUAACUACGU